rnacentral:rRNA from 1 species
CCUACGGGAGGCUGCAGUGGGGAAUAUUGCACAAUGGGGGAAACCCUGAUGCAGCGACGCCGCGUGAAGGAUGAAUUAUUUCGGUAUGUAAACUUCUAUCAGCAUGGAAGAAAAUGACGGUACCUGACUAAUAAUCCCCGUCUAACUACGUGCCGGCAGCCGCGGUAAUACGUAGGGGGCAAGCGUUAUCCGGAUUUACUGGGUGUAAAGGGAGCGUAUACGGCAUGGCAAGUCUGAUGUGAAAACCCGGGGCUCAACCCCGAGACUGCAGUGGAAACUGUCAGGCUAGAGUGUCGUAGAGGUAAGUGGAAUUCGUAGUGUAGCGGUGAAAUGCGUAGAUAUUAGGAGGAACACCAGUGGCGAAGGCGGCUUGCUGGACGAUGACUGACGUUGAGGCUCGAAAGCGUGGGGAGCAAACAGGAUUAGAUACCCCUGUAGUC